GACUCUCGGCAACGGAUAUCUCGGCUCUCGCAUCGAUGAAGAACGUAGCGAAAUGCGAUACUUGGUGUGAAUUGCAGAAUCCCGUGAACCAUCGAGUCUUUGAACGCAAGUUGCGCCCCAAGCCUUCUCCCCAAGCCUUCUGGCCGAGGGCACGUCUGCCUGGGUGUCA
rnacentral:rRNA from 1 species